GAUGAACGCUGGCGGCGUGCCUAAUACAUGCAAGUCGAGCGAACGGACGAGAAGCUUGCUUUUCUGAUGUUAGCGGCGGACGGGUGAGUAACACGUGGAUAACCUACCUAUAAGACUGGGAUAACUUCGGGAAACCGGAGCUAAUACCGCAUAAUAUUUUGAACCGCAUGGUUCAAAAGUGAAAGACGGUCUUGCUGUCACUUAUAGAUGGAUCCGCGCUGCAUUAGCUAGUUGGUAAGGUAACGGCUUACCAAGGCAACGAUGCAUAGCCGACCUGAGAGGGUGAUCGGCCACACUGGAACUGAGACACGGUCCAGACUCCUACGGGAGGCAGCAGUAGGGAAUCUUCCGCAAUGGGCGAAAGCCUGACGGAGCAACGCCGCGUGAGUGAUGAAGGUCUUCGGAUCGUAAAACUCUGUUAUCAGGGAAGAACAUAUGUGUAAGUAACUGUGCACAUCUUGACGGUACCUAAUCAGAAAGCCACGGCUAACUACGUG
rnacentral:rRNA from 1 species